rnacentral:lncRNA from 1 species
CUUCUAUUUUGUAUACAAAUUUUAAGAAAUGGUCGUUACAGAUUUUGUUUUGUUUGUGAUCUUCACGAUCUAUUCAAAUUCAAUGUUUACAUCGAUAUAAGGUAUUCUUGAUUUUGCUUAGUAACUUAAUUUUAAAAGGGCAAAUCUUUGCUGCCUAGCAAUAAACUCAUCAUAGAUAUCAGGACUGAAAUUUCAGAUUUACACCAGACGCGCGUUUCGUCUACAAAAGACUCAUCAGUGACGCUCGAAUAAAAAAAUGUUGAAUAGGCCAAAUAAAGUACGAAGUUCAAGACAUUGAGGACCAAAAAUUUCUAAAAAGUUUGCCUAAUAUAGCUUACGGUAAUCUAUUCCUGAAGUAGAAAAGCCUGAGUAUUUCAAAAAUUCUAAAUUUUGUUAACAGUUAAUUUAUAAUUAUGAACAUAUCAAUCGAUUCCUUUGGAUUUUUUUUUCCUGACUUUCUCUACUCUAGCUGAGCAUGUGCAAGAAAAGUAUAAAAAUAGUAAAAACAUAAAUUGAAAUUGAUACUCCUGGAAUUUAUUCGUGUAGCAACAUUUUAGACCAAUUUUACCCUGAGCAUCUAUAGCCUGUUGUACUUGUUGUUGGCUAUUUAAGAUGGAACAUAAUAACAUUGACUGGAAGUUUUGAUUUUGUUUUAAUUUAUUUUUAUUUUUACAAUUUACCAGCAAGUUUUACCGUGAAUCGAUAGUUGAUAGCGUCCUUGCUUAAAUGGGACAAACAUUUAGAAGAUCUAGUUCCCCGUAUUUACAGGGGAGGUUAUAUUUUGUCACUUGUUGUCCUACUGUAUUCAAUGGUCAUCUACUUUCCAAAUUAACACAAAUAAUUAACCUCUGUCACUUUUUAAAAACAUGUCCAAUAUCUUUACACUGAG